UUUUUAAGUUUUAGUAGCGGACGGGUGAGUAACGCGUGAGAAUCUACCUUUAGGAUGGGAACAACAGUUAGAAAUGAUUGCUAAUGCCCAAUAUGCUUUCUUAAGUGAAAUGAAUUAUAUUCGCCUGAAGAAGAGCUCGCGUCUGAUUAGCUAGUUGGUAAGGUAAUGGCUUACCAAGGCGACGAUCAGUAGCUGGUCUGAGAGGAUGAUCAGCCACACUGGGACUGAGACACGGCCCAGACUCC
rnacentral:rRNA from 1 species